AGGCCUUCACUGUGAUCUGCAGA
rnacentral:miRNA from 9 species